GACGAACGCUGGCGGCGUGCUUAACACAUGCAAGUCGAACGGAAAGGCCCUUCUUGCAGGGUACUCGAGUGGCGAACGGGUGAGUAACACGUGGGUGAUCUGCCCUGCACUUCGGGAUAAGCCUGGGAAACUGGGUCUAAUACCGGAUAGGAGCCAUUUUUAGUGUGAUUGUUGGAAAGUUUUUUCGGUGUAGGAUGAGCUCGCGGCCUAUCAGCUUGUUGUUGGGGUAAUGGCCUACCAAGGCGGCGACGGGUAGCCGGCCUGAGAGGGUGGACGGCCAAAUUGGGACUGAGAUACGGCCCAGACACCUAAGGGAGGCAGCAGUGGGGAAUAUUGCAAAAUGGGAGCAAGCCUGAUGCAGCGACGACGCGUGGGGGAUGACGGCAUUCGGGUUGUAAACUCCUUUCGCUAGGGACGAAGCUUUUGUGACGGUACCUAGAGAAGAAGCACCGGAUAACUACGUG
rnacentral:rRNA from 1 species